AGUGAACGCUGGCGGUAGGCCUAACACAUGCAAGUCGAACGGCAGCACAGUAAGAGCUUGCUCUUACGGGUGGCGAGUGGCGGACGGGUGAGGAAUACAUCGGAAUCUACUUUUUCGUGGGGGAUAACGUAGGGAAACUUACGCUAAUACCGCAUACGACCUACGGGUGAAAGCAGGGGAUCUUCGGACCUUGCGCGAUUGAAUGAGCCGAUGUCGGAUUAGCUAGUUGGCGGGGUAAAGGCCCACCAAGGCGACGAUCCGUAGCUGGUCUGAGAGGAUGAUCAGCCACACUGGAACUGAGACACGGUCCAGACUCCUACGGGAGGCAGCAGUGGGGAAUAUUGGACAAUGGGCGCAGGCCUGUUCCAGCCAUACCGCGUGGGUGAAGAAGGCCUUCGGGUUGUAAAGCCCUUUUGUUGGGAAAGAAAAGCAGCAGGUUAAUACCCCGCUGUUCUGACGGUACCCAAAGAAUAAGCACCGGCUAACUUCGUG
rnacentral:rRNA from 1 species